AUUUCAUGUUUUGGUUAAAGCAAACCAUGGCCUCAGAUUUAGAGGUGCUGAUACUCAUCCCAGCCGCUCCACACUUAGCUGUGAACCAACCCCAUGAGUGCUGGAGGUUACAUGCCGAUGAAGCCAACAGGACCACAUCAUCUGCAAAAAGCAGUGAUGAGACUCUGAGCUCACCAAACUGAAG